UGAACCUAGAGGUUCACCCUAGGGGGUGGACCUAAGAAUAAGUCUUUGUAAAGAGUCAUUCUUGGGUUCACCAACCAAUAAGAUUUCAUUAUUUCAAAUUUGAUAUCUUUUAAAAAAGGAAACAAAAUAUUCUCAAAUUAUAUUAUGUUUUCAAAAUAAAAAAUGUAAAAAAAGAUAAUAGUUACAGAAAAAAAAAUUAAAAAAAAAUAUAUUUUUAAUGUUCUCAACAAAACACUAAACCCUAAAUCUUAAUCCCUAAACCCUAAAUCCUAAACCCUAAACCCUUGGGUAAACCCUAAACCCUUAGGUAAACCCUAAACCCUUGGAUAAAUCCUAAACUCUAAAUAAAAAACACUAAAACUCUAAAAUCCUAAAACCCUAAACCCUAAACGCUUGAAUGUUUUAGUGUAUAGUGAUUUUGAUUUAGAGUUUAGGAUUUAUCCUAGAGUUUAGGAUUUAUCCUAGAGUUUAGGGUUUAGGAUUAAGAGUUUAGGGAUUAGAAUUUAGGGUUUAGGGUUUAAUGUUAUGCUGACGACGUAAAAUAUUUUUUUUGUAAUUAUUACUAUUUUUUUAUCUUUUAAUUUUAAAAACAUAAUAUAAUUUGACAAUAUUUUGUUUCAUUUUUUAAAAGAUAUUGAAUAUAAAAUAAAACAAUCCUAUUGGUUGGUGAACCUAGAGGUUCACCCUAGGGGGUGGACCUAAGAAUAAGUCUUUGUAAAGAGUCAUUCUUGAGUCAUUCUUGGGUUCACCCCCUAGGGUGAACCUCUAGGUUCACCAACCAAUAGGAUUUCAUUAUUUCAAAUUUGAUAUCUUUUAAAAAAGGAAACAAAAUAUUCUCAAAUUAUAUUAUGUUUUCAAAAUAAAAAAAGUAAAAAAAGAUAAUAGUUACAGAAAAAAAAAUUAAAAAAAAAUAUAUUUUUAAUGUUCUCAACAAAACACUAAACCCUAAAUCUUAAUCCCUAAACCCUAAAUCCUAAACCCUAAACCCUUGGGUAAACCCUAAACCCUUGGGUAAACCCUAAACCCUUGGAUAAAUCCUAAACUCUAAAUAAAAAACACUAAAACUCUAAAAUCCUAAAACCCUAAACCCUAUACGCUUGAAUGUUUUAGUGUAUAGUGAUUUUGAUUUAGAGUUUAGGAUUUAUCCUAGAGUUUAGGAUUUAUCCUAGAGUUUAGGGUUUAGGAUUAAGAGUUUAGGGAUUAGAAUUUAGGGUUUAGGGUUUAAUGUUAUGCUGACGACGUAAAAUAUUUUUUUUGUAAUUAUUACUAUUUUUUUAUCUUUUAAUUUUAAAAACAUAAUAUAAUUUGACAAUAUUUUGUUUCCUUUUUUAAAAGAUAUUGAAUAUAAAAUAAAACAAUCCUAUUGGUUGGUGAACCUAGAGGUUCACCCUAGGGGGUGGACCUAAGAAUAAGUCUUUGUAAAGAGUCAUUCUUGGGUUCACCAACCAAUAAGAUUUCAUUAUUUCAAAUUUGAUAUCUUUUAAAAAAGGAAACAAAAUAUUCUCAAAUUAUAUUAUGUUUUCAAAAUAAAAAAUGUAAAAAAAGAUAAUAGUUACAGAAAAAAAAAUUAAAAAAAAAUAUAUUUUUAAUGUUCUCAACAAAACACUAAACCCUAAAUCUUAAUCCCUAAACCCUAAAUCCUAAACCCUAAACCCUUGGGUAAACCCUAAACCCUUAGGUAAACCCUAAACCCUUGGAUAAAUCCUAAACUCUAAAUAAAAAACACUAAAACUCUAAAAUCCUAAAACCCUAAACCCUAAACGCUUGAAUGUUUUAGUGUAUAGUGAUUUUGAUUUAGAGUUUAGGAUUUAUCCUAGAGUUUAGGAUUUAUCCUAGAGUUUAGGGUUUAGGAUUAAGAGUUUAGGGAUUAGAAUUUAGGGUUUAGGGUUUAAUGUUAUGC
rnacentral:lncRNA from 1 species